CACGAUAACGGUUGGUACACAUUAUUUGCAAAUCAAAACUUACCAUAAUAAUUGUUUAAAUUUCAUCACAAUGUGUUUAUUUGUUGUAAGUGGUCUGUAUGCUAUUCGUAAGUCUUCAUUAUGCUUAAGAAAGUUAUAAAAAAUAUCGAAGCAUCACCUCUUCCAAGUGCCACGCCUAGCGUAUUUCCAAAUUUGCGAUGAGUUACCUUAAGUUUAAUAAAUAAUACACCGCUUUAGUAAGCAAGAAACUGUCACAAAACUCACGAUUUACAAAUAUAUACCAUUUUUGCUAUUUGCAAAAUACGCAUAAACAUUUCAUUUGAAUUUUCGGCAAGUAAUCACAAAUACCCCGUACAGAUGAAAAUGGAAUUGUGAAGGUCAACGAGCGAAAGUAUAUACAAAAUAAUUUACAUAAACAAGGAAAUGUGGUCCUGGAUUUUGAUAUUUACGCGUCCAUACUAUACAUAGGGUAUCAUACAGCUGUUAUUAACUAUACCUUCGUUUUAUUCAAGCAUCACCGGUCAUUUACAUCACAAUUACGCACAUCUGGCAAAAGUUUACGGCAUGAGUGAACAAACAUCCGAUCGUGUACGAUUUACUGUAAGUCGAUAAUUUCUAGUAAUUUCUAAAAAUGUGUGUGAAUUUUUUUUGUUUAUAAAACCAUUAUAAUAUUAUUAGCUAAAUAUAAAC